GAAGGAUAGAGAUAAAUUAUAUUAGCUGGGAGUUAGUUGCUGUUAUUGACAUGGUUUUUGAUUUGGUAGGUGAAAUUUUAAAUCGGGGUUGUGUUAAUUUUGUAGGAUGAAGCUUUGAAAAUUGAGAUAUAAACUAGGAUUAGAUACCCUAUUAUUUUAAUUUUAAAUGGUAUAAGGCUUGAGUAGUAGUAGUAGUUCUUGAAACUCAAAGAAUUUGGCGGUGCCUCAAUCUUUUCAGAGGAAUCUGUCCCGUAAUUGAUAUUACACGUUAAAUUUCACUUAAUUUUAUAUUUGUAUACCGCCGUCAUAAGAUUAUCUUUGUAGAGAUAUUAAUUUUCUAGAAAUUUUUGAUAUUAUAUGUCAGGUCAAGGUGCAGUUUAUAAUUAAGAGGGAGAUGGAUUACAAUAAAUUUAUUUAUACGGAUUUUUUGCUGCGAUGCAAGGGGGAAGGUGGAUUUGAAAGUAAUUUUGUUAUAUUAUGAUAUAAUGACUUAAGCUCUGGGGCAUGUACACAUCGCCCGUCGCUCUCGUUAUAAGGCGAGAUAAGUCGUAACAUAGUAGUCGUACUGGAAAGUGUGUCUAGAAAGUUCAA
rnacentral:rRNA from 1 species